AAAGUACUCCCUCCGUCCAAAAAUUCUUGUCUUAGAUUUGUCUAGAUACAGAUGUAUCAAGUCACAUUUUAGUAUUAGAUACAUCCGUAUCUAGACAAAUCUAAGACAAGAAAUUUGGGACAGAGGGAGUAGUUG
rnacentral:pre_miRNA from 1 species